UUUUAAAUCAUAAAACCAAUAACAAGAAUUUGAAUAUAUAUUUAAAAAUCUAAGAACCAAUACUAAUGAACUGAAUAUGGAUUUUGAAAUUAUAUAACCAAUAAUACUAUAUUUUAUUUGUAUUUUAAAAUCCAUCUAAAUAUACCAACCAAUAACACCCUCUGACAUUCUCUGUAACAUCCCCCGGCGCAGCCUAUCUGCAAAAUUCCAAAAAGAAGAGAUUCUAGGGUUUUCUUCUCUCACUCGCUAUAAAAAAAAGGUGCCUUUUACACUA
rnacentral:lncRNA from 1 species